rnacentral:rRNA from 1 species
GCCCCCCGAAUUGUGGUCUAGAAAGGCGCCAUCGGCCAUUCGCGUCGCCCAAAUCCCUUGGAACAGGGUAUCGGAGAAGGUGAGAAUCCUGUGCCGUGGCGUAGAAUGGCCGCACGAUGCGUCCUUGUCGAGUCGGGUUGCUUGGGAUUGCAGCUUGAAGUGGGUGGUAAAUUCCAUCUAAAGCUAAAUACUGGCGAGAGACCGAUAGCGAACAAGUACCGUGAGGGAAAGAUGCAAAGAACUUUGAAAAGAGAG